AUACGGAGGGUGCAAGCGUUAAUCGGAAUUACUGGGCGUAAAGCGUACGUAGGCGGCAAGUUAAGUUAGAUGUGAAAGCCCCGGGCUUAACCUGGGAACUGCAUUUAAGACUGGCGAACUAGAGUUGAGUAGAGGGGAGUGGAAUUUCAGGUGUAGCGGUGAAUUGCGUAGAGAUCUGAAGGAACACCAGUGGCGAAGGCGGCUCCCUGGACUCAAACUGACGCUGAGGUACGAAAGCGUGGGUAGCAAACGGGAUUAGAUACCCUAGUAGUCC
rnacentral:rRNA from 1 species